rnacentral:rRNA from 1 species
AGAGUUUGAUCCUGGCUCAGAAUCAACGCUGGCGGCGUGCCUAACACAUGCAAGUCGAACGCGAAAAGGGCUUCGGCUCUUAGUAGAGUGGCGAACGGGUGAGUAACACGUGGGUGACCUACCUUCGAAUGGGGGAUAACGUCCCGAAAGGGACGCUAAUACCGCAUAACAUCCUGCUUUUGAACAGGUGGAGAUCAAAGCCGGGGAUCGCAAGACCUGGCGUUUGAAGAGGGGCCCGCGUCUGAUUAGCUAGUUGGUGAGGUAACGGCCCACCAAGGCGACGAUCAGUAUCCGGCCUGAGAGGGCGGACGGACACACUGGGACUGAGACACGGCCCAGACUCCUACGGGAGGCAGCAGUAGGGAAUCUUCCGCAAUGGACGAAAGUCUGACGGAGCAACGCCGCGUGAGUGAUGAAGGUUUUCGGAUCGUAAAACUCUGUUGUUAGGGAAGAACAAGUACCGUUCGAAUAGGGCGGUACCAUGACGGUACCUAACCAGAAAGCCACGGCUAACUACGUGCCAGCAGCCGCGGUAAU